rnacentral:rRNA from 1 species
UACGUAGGUGGCAAGCGUUUGUCCGGAUUUACUGGGCGUAAAGAGCGCGCAGGCGGUCGUUCAAGUCGCGUGUGAAAGCCCCCGGCUCAACUGGGGAGGGUCACGCGAUACUGAUCGACUCGAAGGCAGGAGAGGGUAGUGGAAUUCCCAGUGUAGUGGUGAAAUGCGUAGAUAUCGGGAGGAACACCAGUGGCGAAGGCGACUACCUGGCCUGUUUCUUGACGCUGAGGCGCGAAAGCUAGGGGAGCAAACGGG